AAAAUAGGAGGCAGUCAAGAUAGCCAAGGACCCUGCCUAUGAACCAUCACAAUUCACAAACAAGCUAAGACUCCUCAUUUUCAUGUAAAUAACAUUUUGAAGGGAUGUAGGCAAGUCAUCCUUGGCUAUUAAACAAGACUCCUGUCU
rnacentral:pre_miRNA from 1 species